GACCUCAAAUCAGGUAGGGCUACCCGCUGAACUUAANCAUAUCAAUAAGCGGANGAAAAGAAACUAACAAGGAUUCCCCUANUAGCGGCGAGCGAACCGGGAUGAGCUCAAAUUUGAAAUCUGGCUCCCUCCGGGUGUCC
rnacentral:rRNA from 1 species